rnacentral:rRNA from 1 species
GCACUCUAAGUUGACUGCCGGUGACAAACCGGAGGAAGGUGGGGAUGACGUCAAAUCAUCAUGCCCCUUAUGAUUUGGGCUACACACGUGCUACAAUGGACAAUACAAAGGGUAGCGAAACCGCGAGGUCAAGCAAAUCCCAUAAAGUUGUUCUCAGUUCGGAUUGUAGUCUGCAACUCGACUAUAUGAAGCUGGAAUCGCUAGUAAUCGUAGAUCAGCAUGCUACGGUGAAUACGUUCCCGG